GUAGGUGGCAAGCGUUGUCCGGAAUUAUUGGGGCGUAAAGCGCGCGCAGGCGGUUCUUUAAGUCUGAUGUGAAAGCCCACGGGCUCAACCGUGGAGGGUCAUUGGAAACUGGAGAACUUGAGUACAGAAGAGGAAAGCGGAAUUCCACGUGUAGCGGUGAAAUGCGUAGAGAUGUGGAGGAACACCAGUGGCGAAGGCGGCUUUCUGGUCUGUAACUGACGCUGAGGCGCGAAAGCGUGGGGAGCAAACAGGAUUAGAUACCCUGGUAGUCCACGCCGUAAACGAUGAGUGCUAAGUGUUAGGGGGUUUCCGCCCCCUUAGUGCUGCAGCUAACGCAUUAAGCACUCCGCCUGGGGAGUACGGCCGCAAAGGCUG
rnacentral:rRNA from 1 species